UACGGAGGGUGCGAGCGUUGCUCGGAAUCAUUGGGCGUAAAGCGUACGCAGGCGGCUCCAUAAGUCGGGGGUGAAAGCCCAGGGCUCAACCCUGGAAAUGCGCCCGAGACUGUGGAGCUUGAGUGCGGGAGAGGGAAGCGGAAUUCCUGGUGUAGAGGUGAAAUUCGUAGGUAUCAAGAGGAACACCGGUGGCGAAAGCGGCUUCCUGGCCCGACACUGACGCUCAUGUACGAAAGCGUGGGGAGCAAACAGG
rnacentral:rRNA from 1 species